rnacentral:rRNA from 1 species
GAUGAACGCUGGCGGCGUGCCUAAUACAUGCAAGUCGAGCGAACGGACGAGAAGCUUGCUUCUCUGAUGUUAGCGGCGGACGGGUGAGUAACACGUGGAUAACCUACCUAUAAGACUGGGAUAACUUCGGGAAACCGGAGCUAAUGCCGGAUAAUAUUUUGAACCGCAUGGUUCAAAAGUGAAAGACGGUCUUGCUGUCACUUAUAGAUGGAUCCGCGCUGCAUUAGCUAGUUGGUAAGGUAACGGCUUACCAAGGCAACGAUGCAUAGCCGACCUGAGAGGGUGAUCGGCCACACUGGAACGGAGACACGGUCCAGACUACUAGGGGAGGCAGCAGUGGGGAAUAUUGGGCAAUGGGCGAAAGCCUGAGGGAGCAAGGCCGCGUGGGUGAAGAAGGUCUUCGGAUGGUAAAACUCUGUUAUUGGGAAAGAAAAGAAGUAAAAGAAAAGGUGCACGUCUUGACGGUACCAAAAGAAAAAGCAACGGCUAACUACGUG